AGAACGAACGCUGGCGGCAUGCCUAACACAUGCAAGUCGAACGCUUCCGGGGCUUCGGUCGCGGAGGAGUGGCGCACGGGUGAGUAGCGCGUGGGAACCUGCCCUGUUGUGGGGGAUAACCGAGGGAAACUUCGGCUAAUACCGCAUACGCCCCGGGACUUGGUCUUCGGAUUAGGUCUGGGGGGAAAGAUUGAUCGCAGCAGGAGGGGCCCGCGUCGGAUUAGCUGGUUGGUGGGGUAACGGCUCACCAAGGCGAUGAUCCGUAGCUGGUCUGAGAGGAUGAUCAGCCACACUGGGACUGAGACACGGCCCAGACUCCUACGGGAGGCAGCAGUGGGGAAUAUUGGACAAUGGGGGCAACCCUGAUCCAGCAAUGCCGCGUGAGUGAUGAAGGCCUUAGGGUUGUAAAGCUCUUUCGCCCGCGACGAUGAUGACGGUAGCGGGAGAAGAGCCCCGGCUAACUUCGCGCCAGCAGCCGCGGU
rnacentral:rRNA from 1 species